CAGAUAUUAGUCAAUGCUCGAAAGAGUGAACUAGCUAACUGRAAUCAAUUAUAAUAAUUGGAUAACAUAAGGGAAAAUAAUGGAUAUUACCUUAUUAUUAGUGUCGUCCAAAUCUGGUGCCAGAAGACUCGGUAAGGCCAGAGACACAAACGUUAAUCGUCUUAAUCAGGCGUAAAGGGUUUGUAGGCGGCUUUAAAAUUUACUUAUAAAAAAAUAAAUAAUAAGUAAAGAAUAAAAGCUAGAAUCAAAUAGAGGAUAUAUUAAAUAAUGCUUAGAGUAGGUCUGAUAUCCUUAGAUACUAAGUAGAAUAUUAAAGGCGAAAGCUUUUUUCCAUUAAUGAUUGACGCUGAGAAACGAAGGUGAGGAUAGGAAAUAGGAUUAGAUACCCAGAAUACCCCUCUCUGUCAACGAUGAAUGGUAGUUAUUAGUAUAAAUAUAUUAAUGGCAAUGUUAACACGAUAACCAUUCCGCCUUGUGAGUACAACUGCAAAGUUGAAAACAAAAAAAUUAGUCGGUUUCGGAGCAAACGAAGUGAAGCAUGUUAUUUAAUAAAUAA
rnacentral:rRNA from 1 species